rnacentral:rRNA from 1 species
UACGUAGGGGGCGAGCGUUGUCCGGAAUGAUUGGGCGUAAAGGGCGCGCAGGCGGCCUGUCAAGUCAGUAGUGGAAGUCCAUUUUUCAAGGAUGGAAGUGCUAUAGAAACUGAUGGGCUUGAGUGCAGGAGAGGUUAUCGGAAUUCCCGGUGUAGCGGUGAAAUGCGUAGAGAUCGGGAGGAACACCAGUGGCGAAGGCGGGUAACUGGACUGCAACUGACGCUGAGGCGCGAAAGUGUGGGGAGCAAACAGGAUUAGAUACCCUGGUAGUCCACACUGUAAACGAUGAAUGCUAGGUGUAGGGGGUAUCGACCCCUUCUGUGCCGAAGUAAACACAAUAAGCAUUCCGCCUGGGGAGUACGGUCGCAAGAUUAAAACUCAAAGGAAUUGACGGGGGCCCGCACAAGCAGCGGAGCAUGUGGUUUAAUUCGAAGCAACGCGAAGAACCUUACCAGGUCUUGACAUCCAUCUAAAGCUGCGGAGACGCAGUGUGAGCAAGCUCGAGAUGA